UGGGGAAUUUUGGACAAUGGGGGAAACCCUGAUCCAGCCAUCCCGCGUGUGCGAUGAAGGCCUUCGGGUUGUAAAGCACUUUUGGCAGGAAAGAAACGUCGCGGGUUAAUACCCCGCGAAACUGACGGUACCUGCAGAAUAAGCACCGGCUAACUACGUGCCAGCAGCCGCGGUAAUACGUAGGGUGCAAGCGUUAAUCGGAAUUACUGGGCGUAAAGCGUGCGCAGGCGGUUCGGAAAGAAAGAUGUGAAAUCCCAGAGCUUAACUUUGGAACUGCAUUUUUAACUACCGGGCUAGAGUGUGUCAGAGGGAGGUGGAAUUCCGCGUGUAGCAGUGAAAUGCGUAGAUAUGCGGAGGAACACCGAUGGCGAAGGCAGCCUCCUGGGAUAACACUGACGCUCAUGCACGAAAGCGUGGGGAGCAAACAGGAUUAGAUACCCUGGUAGUCCACGCCCUAAACGAUGUCAACUAGCUGUUGGGGGCCUUCGGGCCUUGGUAGCGCAGCUAACGCGUGAAGUUGACCGCCUGGGGAGUACGGUCGCAAGAUUAAAAACUCAAAGGAAUUGACGGGGGUCAUAGCUG
rnacentral:rRNA from 1 species